rnacentral:rRNA from 1 species
GACAGAGGCCUCAAGCGUUAGGCGGAAUCACUGGGCUUAAAGCGUGCGUAGGCGGAUGCCUAAGUACCUUGUGAAAUCCCACGGCUCAACCGUGGAACUGCUGGGUAUACUGGGCGUCUUGGGCCAUUCAGGGGCGACUGGAACAAGCGGUGGAGCGGUGAAAUGCGUAGAUAUCGCUUGGAACGCCGAAGGUGAAAACAGGUCGCUGGGGAUGUGCCGACGCUGAGACACGAAAGCCAGGGGAGCAAACGGG